rnacentral:rRNA from 1 species
GUUACUUCGGUACAUCGGUGACAGGUGGUGCAUGGUUGUUGUCAGCUCGUGUCGUGAGAUGUUGGGUUAAGUCCCGCAACGAGCGCAACCCCUAUCUUUAGUUGCCAUCAUUGAGUUGGGCACUCUAAAGAGACUGCCGGUGUCAAACCGGAGGAAGGUGGGGAUGACGUCAAAUCAUCAUGCCCCUUAUGACCUGGGCUACACACGUGCUACAAUGGUUGGUACAACGAGUUGCGAGUCGGUGACGGCGAGCUAAUCUCUUAAAGCCAAUCUCAGUUCGGAUUGUAGGCUGCAACUCGCCUACAUGAAGUCGGAAUCGCUAGUAAUCGCGGAUCAGCACGCCGCGGUGAAUACGUUCCCGGGCCUU